GACGAACGCUGUCGGCGUGCCUAAUACAUGCAAGUUGAGCGCUGAAGGUUGGUACUUGUACCGACUGGAUGAGCAGCGAACGGGUGAGUAACGCGUGGGGAAUCUGCCUUUGAGCGGGGGACAACAUUUGGAAACGAAUGCUAAUACCGCAUAAAAACUUUAAACACAAGUUUUAAGUUUGAAAGAUGCAAUUGCAUCACUCAAAGAUGAUCCCGCGUUGUAUUAGCUAGUUGGUGAGGUAAAGGCUCACCAAGGCGAUGAUACAUAGCCGACCUGAGAGGGUGAUCGGCCACAUUGGGACUGAGACACGGCCCAAACGCCUACGGGAGGCAGCAGUAGGGAAUCUUCGGCAAUGGACGAAAGUCUGACCGAGCAACGCCGCGUGAGUGAAGAAGGUUUUCGGAUCGUAAAACUCUGUUGGUAGAGAAGAACGUUGGUGAGAGUGGAAAGCUCAUCAAGUGACGGUAACUACCCAGAAAGGGACGGCUAACUACGUG
rnacentral:rRNA from 1 species